rnacentral:rRNA from 1 species
AUUGAACGCUGGCGGCAUGCUUUACACAUGCAAGUCGAACGGUAACAGGGUGCUUGCACCGCUGACGAGUGGCGAACGGGUGAGUAAUGCGUCGGAACGUGCCGAGUAGUGGGGGAUAACGCAGCGAAAGUUGUGCUAAUACCGCAUACGUACUGAGGUAGAAAGUGGGGGACCUUCGGGCCUCACGCUAUUCGAGCGGCCGACGUCUGAUUAGCUAGUAGGUGAGGUAAAGGCUCACCUAGGCGACGAUCAGUAGCGGGUCUGAGAGGAUGAUCCGCCACACGGGGACUGAGACACGGCCCAGACUCCUACGGGAGGCAGCAGUGGGGAAUUUUGGACAAUGGGCGAAAGCCUGAUCCAGCCAUGCCGCGUGUCUGAAGAAGGCCUUCGGGUUGUAAAGGACUUUUGUCAGGGAGGAAAUCCCCAGUGCUAAUAACACUGGGGGAUGACAGUACCUGAAGAAUAAGCACCGGCUAACUACGUGCCAGCCGCCGCGGUAA